rnacentral:rRNA from 1 species
CCUACGGGUGGCAGCAGUAGGGAAUCUUUCACAAUGGGCGAACGCCUGAUGGAGCAACGUCGCGUGCAGGAUGACGGCCCUCGGGUUGUAAACUGCUUUUAUUAGCGAGACAUCGGAUGGUAACUUAUGAAUAAGGAUCGGCUAACUAAGUGCCAGCAGCCGCGGUCAUACGUAGGAUCCGAGCAUUAUCCGGAGUGACUGGGUGUAAAGAGUUGCGUAGGUGGCAUAAUAAGUAGCUAGUGAAAUUUGGUGGCGCAACCAUUCAGACUAUUAGCUAAACUGUUGAGCUCGAGACCGUUAGGGGCAUCUGGAAUUUCUAGUGUAGGAGUGAAAUCCGUAGAUAUUAGAAGGAACACCAAUAGCGUAGGCAGGAUGCUGGGACGGUUCUGACACUGAGGCACGAAAGCGUAGGGAGCAAACGGGAUUAGAUACCCGGGUAGUC